rnacentral:SRP_RNA from 1 species
AGGUGGGUCUCGGACGGCGGCAAGUCGUGAACCUGGUCAGAUCCGGGAGGAAGCAGCCAUAAGCGGCCUCUGUCGGGUGUCCGGGAUCCACCUGGG